CUGGUUUUGCUGAGUCACUGAGACCUUUUUGCUGGCCAGUGUUUCUGAAAAGGGAAGCUGUUUCAAGUUAUAUACCAUCCCUGUUGUUUCAGCACUUUGGUGGUGAGCUGGUCCCCUUGUCCUUCCCAUCCUGCAAAGUCCUGGGGUCCCUCUCCCAUUUUCAGGUCAGUGGGCAUGUUUGGAAAGCUGUAGACACUCUCCACAAAUGGCGGCCUUGGGAACUGGGACCUGCCCGCUCCAACAGUGACUGUCAUCAUGGGUCCUAUGGUCCCAGAACACUCAUUUCCCAGAAGUCAUGGUCCCCGUAUGGAAGGAAAAAGAGCUUGCCGGGAAAGUGAAGAACCAGGAAGAAGUGUAGCCCUGAGAUCUUCCAUGUAAGCCCACUCUUCUCACUCUGAAGGGGUGCUGUUUCGGGGCUUUGCAGCAAGCUGGCCCCUCAGUUAUAUUUCCCAGGUAAAUUUUGUUCCUUUAACAUCUUAGAAACAAUACUAAUAAAAAGCUGUCUGGUGGGUGCACAAGCUGCCCUUUGGAGUACCCAGGACUGAUCUGUGAUUAACCCCUGGAUUUCUGAAAUGCCAGCUUUCAUCAAGGGAUGGAUUGGGACAAGGUGCGGUGUUUGGUCUGCCUGAACUUUCAGAGAUUCCUUUGUGCAGUGCAGGGGGAGGACCUCCCAAAUGCAGGGGGAAGGGGCAGUUCAGGUGCGUGGGGCAGAUUUAGGGUAGGGAAAUGAACAGAUGCUCACAAAUACUAGGGUAGCGUUCUGCUUUUCUCUUUAGUUUAAGGAGUCAUACCGUGAUUUCCGGUUGUAACCAGGCAUGGAGACAGGCCAUCCGGCAGCAGUGGUUCUGAAAUGCAAACACACAGAGCAGUUUUCCUUUCCUUCUGGCCUUCUGCACAUAUCAUGAUCCCAGGGCUGUGCCACACUGCCCAUCUCUCCACGGAGUCGCAACUUGAAUCGGAUCAAAUCUAUAUUUGCAUCAUCCACAGACAGGAACAGCCACUGAAAUGGCCCUAAUUACUUCCUAAAAUGUAUAUUAAGUAAAAACACCAAAAUCAUUAUCCUUUACACAUACAUGGAAUAAACAAAAUUUCUUAAUCUAUCGGAACUAUGAAAA